AGAGUUUGAUCCUGGCUCAGGACGAACGCUGGCGGCGUGCCUAAUGCAUGCAAGUCGCACGGGCGGCCUUCGGGUCGUCAGUGGCGCACGGCUGAGGAACACGUACGUACCUACCGUUCUGUGGGGGACAACCCGCCGAAAGGCGGGCUAAUCCCGCAUACGCUCGCAGGAGGAAAGCGGCUUCGGCCGCGCAGAACGCGGGGCGUGCGGCCCAUCAGGUUGUUGGCGGGGUAACGGCCCACCAAGCCCGUGACGGGUCGCUGGUCUGAGAGGAUGACCAGCCAGACUGGGACUGAGACACGGCCCAGACUCCUACGGGAGGCAGCAGCAAGGAAUUUUCGGCAAUGGGCGCAAGCCUGACCGAGCAACGCCGCGUGGUGGAUGACGGCCUUCGGGUUGUAAACACCUUUUGGGGGGGAUGACAUCGACCGUACCCCCCGAAUAAGCCCCGGCUAACUCUGUGCCAGCAGCCGCGGUAAGACAGAGGGGGCAAGCGUUGUCCGGAAUCACUGGGCGUAAAGCGCACGCAGGUGGCACGGCAAGUGGAGUGUGACACCCCACCGCUUAACGGUGGGACGCCAUUGCAGACUGCCGCGCUCGAGCCGUUCAGAGGUCAGUGGAAUUGCCGGUGUAGGAGUGAAAUCCGUAGAGCCCGGCAGGAACACCCACGGGGAAGCCAGCUGACUGGGAACGCGCUGACACUCAUGUGCGACAGCGUGGGGAGCGAACCGGAUUAGAUACCCGGGUAGUCCACGCCGUAAACGAUGAUGACUC
rnacentral:rRNA from 1 species